UACGUAGGGUGCAAGCGUUGUCCGGAAUUAUUGGGCGUAAAGAGCUCGUAGGCGGUUUGUCGCGUCUGCUGUGAAAACCCGAGGCUCAACCUCGGGCCUGCAGUGGGUACGGGCAGACUAGAGUGCGGUAGGGGAGAUUGGAAUUCCUGGUGUAGCGGUGGAAUGCACAGAUAUCAGGAGGAACACCAAUGGGCGAAGGCAGAUCUCUGGGCCGUAACUGACGCUGAGGAGCGAAAGCAUGGGGAGCGAACAGG
rnacentral:rRNA from 1 species